GUAUGGUCAGGCGGGAUCAUCUGCCAGCUGGAGGUCUCAGGACUGUGGAAAACCAUGUAUUCUAGCAGUAUAUUCUCUGGCCCAGCCGACCAUUACUAUCUUCAUAACGCUUAUGAAACUGUGCCUUCUCUAAGGCCAUUCACAGCUCUCGACUGGGCUAUCCUUCUUUGCCCUCUGUGCAUAAUUUCAUGCUUAUUUGAUCUCCCCAACCUCUGCACUGACCUGGCUUCUUGUGUUAUAUCCUAAACAACUUGUUCUUGGUUUCAUCCACUCAGUUCUCUGGAUCAGCCAGCUUCACACAGAAGUGACAGCACUUCUGAAAUCCCCUCUUAGUCACUUUUGUAACUUCAACCUCUGCUAAAGGUAGACACUCACUCUAUAGACCAGGCCUUGAGCUCAAAGAUCCACCUGCCUCUGCCCCCUGGCCCCCUCCACCUCCCCACGAGUGCUGGGACUAAAGGUGUGAACCACCACCACCACCACCACCACCACCCAGCUCCCUUGUUUUCUUAACAUUGAUCUAUUUAUAACUAGAGUGAGCAAAGCAGUGGUGGUGCACAACUUUAAUCCCACCACUCAGGAGGCAGAGGCAGGUGGAGCUCUGUGAUUUCGAGGCCAGCCUGGUCUACAAUAUGAGUUCCAGGACAGCCAGGGAUACACAGAGAAACCCUGCCUCAAAAAGAAAAUCAAAUAAACCCCCACAGAGUUACACCUUAUCCACUGCCCAAUGUCCUGCCAUUGGUUCCCAGACCAGAGCCUAGAGCCUGAAAUGGUCAUAUGCUCAGGCCCCAUUGCAAAGGACAGUGGGAAGGCACCUGCUUGUCUAACCUCUGGGGUGGCAAAGCUCGGGAGGGACUCCUCCUUAGGCAGCAGAGAUGCUCACUGGUGUGGGCUGUGCACACUCUGGUUUUCUUUCCUCUAAACUUGUGGGCCCCCAGGUUCAAGCUUUUAAUUUUCAGGUUUGCAUAUCUAUAAGUGCCUCCGUGUAUCUAUGUGGACCACAUGUAUGCCUGGUGCCUGUGGAAAUGAGAAGAAAGCAUUGAAUCCCCUCAAAAAGUGUUCUUAACCCCUUAGCCAUCUCUCCAGCCCCAGGUUCAAAUCCUGAGCACCGUCUGAACUAGUCCUGUGUCCAAGACAGUAUCAUCAAACCCUGCCCUUCCCGCCUUGUGCCAGCUCGCGCUUUUUCUUACAUCUGUAUGUUGAUGCUUAGCAGGUUCCUUGAAUGCUUGGUUUAUGUGCCUGGCUGGAGGAGACACCCAUGGCCUUGCAGAGGGAGCGUUCUGGUGGGAAAGCAGACACAACCCACCCUAGGCCCGUGGUUUCCCUGCAAGAAGCCCAGUGGCUUUCUGGAGGACACUUUUCCUGGAGGAAGUGACUCAAGCACAAGUUCUUGGUGGCCUCAAUUCACGGUCUCUUCCUGUUGAUCAGCAGUGGGCAGAGACCACCUCCCUCAUUGCCGCUUUGGGUUUGGACCGCUUUAAACAGUAAAGUGACUGUCGACGGCUCAGUCUACAGGGAGGAGAACAAAAGACAGGGUCAGGGCUGGGCAGACUGGACAGGAGCAGCAUAAGCCAGGCUCUAUGGAAUGUUGGGUGAGCUGCUUGAGGAACUCCAAGGCCUGUCCCACAGUCUUCCAGCCUCCGACUCUCCGGCCCUCAGCGAGGAAGUCCCACUGGUUUUUUUGGUUGGUUUUUUUUUUUUUUUUUAAGGUUUUUUGGUUUUUUUUUUUUUUUCUCAUUCCUGUCUUGGGAGCUUUCCCCAACCAGGAGAGUGAAGAUGGGCGGAGCUGUCACACCAACUGUUAGCCUGCCUUGGCUGAGAGGAGAGGAGGCGAGGAGGGAGCGACCACCCAGCUUUAGUCGUUUUAAAACAGCUCCUGACCCUAGAAGAAGGGAAAUGGAGAUGAAGACCCAAUUGACUUGGCUUCCCUCCCUCCCAGUGCUGAUUUCCUGUGGACCAGAUUCCAGCACAGUGGAGGGCCAGAGCUCAGGGAACAGACCCAGCAGCACAGCAAGUCUCCAAGGAAAGCUCUAGCAGUCUCCAGGGGCUGAAGGCAGGACUGGGGAAGCGGCUAGCCAGGCUGCAGAAGGCAAAUGCUCCCAGACGGCUGUCCAGCACGCAUCCGCCUUCCUAGCCAAGUUUCCUGGGCUCCUGCCACAGAUCUAAGCCUCAUCCUGACAUCCUGCCCUCUGUGCUCUGGGAUGGCCCAGGGGAGAUGCUUAGCCUUGGCUCCUUGUCUGCUGGUGGAGGGGACACACACCCUUUCUGGACCACAGACCAAAAAGAAGACCUGACGUCAUCCUGAGCACCCCCGCCAUGCAGAGUGUGUUCGCAGACUGCCAACGGGCUGGCUCCGGCCAGCAGAAGUGAACAGAGGUGGAGGUUCAGCCUGACAGCUUCUCCCCAAAGCCAUGGAGAGAAAACCUUACCACCCCCACCGCCCAGCUACUUCCAGCAAGUUGUCCAGCCUGACCCCUCUAUUUCCCCUGUUGUCUCUUAUCUGGGUCCCUGAGACCCACCCCAUCUCCAAUAAAGAACAUUGCAUACUGUGCAUCCACUACUGAACAACAUAGUCACACCAGGCAGGGCUCCCUAAAGCCUACCUGCAUGGCCAGCGUGGUCCGAGGACAGUGUGCUCUCCCCACCCUGUCUGCUAGCCUCCAGCUUCAUGGGAACUCCAUUAAUCAUGGGAUUCCGAGAUCAUCAGAGCAAUAGGAUCACUCCGUCUCCAGGGGAGCACAAGGCAAGAGCCAGAGCGGGACUGUUCUUCAGUCAAGGGGCAGGGGUUGCUGCCUCU
rnacentral:lncRNA from 1 species